ensembl:lncRNA
GGACCUAAUGUUAUCUAAACAGUGUUAAAUUAACCCUUUUAUUUGACUGUGUAGUAGGACCUAGUAGUGUUUAGGGUAGUGGACAUAGCCCUAGUAGUGUUUAGGGUAGUGGACAUAGCCCUAGUAGUGUUUUUAGGGUAGUGGACAUAGACCUAGUAGUGUUUAGGGUAGUGGACAUAGACCUAGUAGUGUUUUUAGGGUAGUGGACAUAGCCCUAGUACUGUUUAGGGUAGUGGACAUAGCCCUAGUAGUGUGUUUAGGGU